rnacentral:rRNA from 1 species
GAUGAACGCUGGCGGCGUGCCUAAUACAUGCAAGUCGAGCGAACAGACGAGGAGCUUGCUCCUCUGACGUUAGCGGCGGACGGGUGAGUAACACGUGGAUAACCUACCUAUAAGACUGGGAUAACUUCGGGAAACCGGAGCUAAUACCGGAUAAUAUAUUGAACCGCACGGUUCAAUAGUGAAAGACGGUUUUGCUGUCACUUAUAGAUGGAUCCGCGCCGCAUUAGCUAGUUGGUAAGGUAACGGCUUACCAAGGCAACGAUGCGUAGCCGACCUGAGAGGGUGAUCGGCCACACUGGAACUGAGACACGGUCCAGACUCCUACGGGAGGCAGCAGUAGGGGAUCUUCCGCAAUGGGCGAAAGCUUGACGGAGCAACGCCGCGUGAGUGAUGAAGGUCUUCGGAUCGUAAAACUCUGUUAUUAGGGAAGAACAAAUGUGUAAGUAACUAUGCACGUCUUGACGGUACCUAAUCAGAAAGCCACGGCUAACUACGUG